GGGGGAACUACUAUAUUGAAAAAUGUGCAAAAUAGAGAAGAUUUCAUUGAAGAAGUCUGCUGUUUUUGGAAUGGGAAAUUAAGAUCUAAACCUCAAGAUUCAACUGGAUUUUCAUUGAAAUUCACCACGAUCCCCUCUGCAGCUGUGGUCUCAAAAUACCAUUUCUGCAUUUAUUUUAGCUCAUGGAAUAACUCUGCUGAGAAACCACAGAGUCAAUCAGACUCAAAAUGCUUAAAAUCCUUCCUGCUUGGAGUUUUCCGUCUUCACAUCAAAGCAUUUCAUGCCCGUCAGCAACUUUUUAAUGCAUUUGCUCCUCAUUUGCACAAUUUCCAUUUAAAGACGUUCCUUGGCUGACUUCUCUGAUGAAGUUUCCUGCUUGCCAGGAGAGCAAUGCUAAUGCAGAAAUUACAAAGGGGGCUACACGUCCCUUUUCUGGAGGACCUGAUAUUUCAGAUAAUGUUCAACUUCAGUUUUGGAGAAACCACUGUUCUUUGCACCAGGGGAAAAGAAACUGAUUUUCAGUGUGAGCAACCUGUGAAGAUAGAGACAAAUAUAAGUAAAUGAGAAUGUCAUUGAGGAAGAGAAUCGAAGACACAAUAGAAGCACUUACUGGACUCCAUACAGUAAUGUCAUAUCUUUGUUUGUUCUAACUUAAGCUUGCAUGUAUACAAUGGGGUUUAAGAAACUUGGCAAGAGUUUUUUUUUUUUUUUUUUCCUUAAACUGAGUUAAACAGUCUUGACUGACUUCUUUAAAUGAAAGGAAAAAUAAUACACAUAACAAUAGAUUUGAAAAGGAAGAGCCCAAAUCCCCAAGGGCAGUAAUCUUCUGGAAAAUGUUAAUAUUCAUGAGUUAUAGGAAAGUGAUGAGAGCCAACACAUCCCUUUUUUUUUUUUUUUUUUUUUUGCUCCAAGUAAUCAAUUCUUUGCCUACAGCCAAACCAGGCCUUUUAAUAAAAUUAUUAUUACUUAAAAAGUAAAAAGAUAAAAUUAUUAUUUAGCAUUACAUAACUCAAAAAUAAACUCAGGGUUUAUAUUUUAUUGAUAUAUCUUACACAUCAUGUA
rnacentral:lncRNA from 1 species